GCUGCUUACCUGNCAGUUCGAACGACACGGAUAUUAGCUUGCUAAUAUUGUCAGCUAAGUGGCGCACGGGUGAGUAAUAUAUAGUUAAUCUGCCUUAGAGAUGGGAAUAAUUGUUGGAAACGACUUGUAAGACCCGAUAUGCCUUUAGUACAUAAGUACGCAAGGGAAACAUUUAUGGCUCUAAGAUGAGACUGUACAGUAUCAGAUAGUUGGUAGGGUAAUGGCCUACCAAGUCUAUGACGCUUAACUGGUUUGAGAGGAUGAUCAGUCACACUGGAACUGAGACACGGUCCAGACUCCUACGGGAGGCAGCAGUGGGGAAUAUUGCACAAUGGACGAAAGUCUGAUGCAGCAACGCCGCGUGGAGGAUGACACAUUUCGGUGCGUAAACUCCUUUUAUAUGAGAAGAUAAUGACGGUAUCAUAUGAAUAAGCACCGGCUAACUUCGUGCCAGCAGCCGCGGUAAUACGAGGGGUGCAAGCGUUACUCGGAAUCACUGGGCGUAAAGAGAAUGUAGGCGGGUAAUUAAGUUGGAAGUGAAAUCCUAUGGCUCAACCAUAGAACUGCUUCCAAAACUGAUUACCUAGAGUAUGGGAGAGGUAGAUGGAAUUUCUGGUGUAGGG
rnacentral:rRNA from 1 species